AACGCACGAGACCUGCGGACCUGCGGAGGGAUCAUUACUGAGUGAGGGCCCUCUGGGUCCAACCUCCCACCCGUGUUUAACGAACCUUGUUGCUUCGGCGGGCCCGCCUCACGGCCGCCGGGGGGCAUCCGCCCCCGGGCCCGCGCCCGCCGAAGCCACCUGUGAACGCUGUCUGAAGUUGCAGUCUGAGAAAAUUAUUAAAUUAAUUAAAACUUUCAACAAUGGAUCUCUAGAUCGGAA
rnacentral:misc_RNA from 1 species